UUAAAAAUAAGCUAAACGAAGCUUUUGGGUUCAUACCCCAAAUAUAAAGAAAAAUCUUUUUUUUAAA
rnacentral:tRNA from 1 species